UGUUCUACUUCAAUUAACUUUAUUGAUGACAUGACAGGCGUCCAUUAUGUUCUACUUCAAUUAACUUUAUUGAUGACAUGACAGGCGUCCAUUAUGUUCUACUUCAAUUAACUUUAUUGAUGACAUGACAGGCGUCCAUUAUGUUCUACUUCAAUGAACUUUAUUGAUGACAUGACAGGCGUCCAUUAUGUUCUACUUCAAUGAACUUUAUUGAUGACAUGACAGGCGUCCAUUAUGUUCUACUUCAAUGAACUUUAUUGAUGACAUGACAGGCGUCCAUUAUGUUCUACUUCAAUUAACUUUAUUGAUGACAUGACAGGCGUCCAUUAUGUUCUACUUCAAUGAACUUUAUUGAUGACAUGACAGGCGUCCAUUAUGUUCUACUUCAAUUAACUUUAUUGAUGACAUGACAGGCGUCCAUUAUGUUCUACUUCAAUUAACUUUAUUGAUGACAUGACAGGCGUCCAUUAUGUUCUACUUCAAUUAACUUUAUUGAUGACAUGACAGGCAUCCAUUAUGUUUUACUUCAAUGUAUACAGACAAUAACAUUUGGAAAUCAUCGUAAAAAUGACUCCAUGCUUCUGGAGUCAACGGCUAUUCUGUUGUUGACUCAAUCUGUCGACAUGGUCAGUCAUAAUGUAAUCAUUUGGGCUACUAGAUUAGGUCAGUCAUAAUGUAAUCAUUUGGGCUACUAGAUUAGGUCAGUCAUAAUGUAAUCAUUUGGGCUACUAGAUUAGGUCAGUCAUAAUGUAAUCAUUUGGGCUACUAGAUUAGGUCAGUCAUAAUGUAAUCAUUUGGGCUACUAGAUUAGGUCAGUCAUAAUGUAAUCAUUUGGGCUACUAGAUUAGGUCAGUCAUAAUGUAAUCAUUUGGGCUACUAGAUUAGGUCAGUCAUAAUGUAAUCAUUUGGGCUACUAGAUUAGGUCAGUCAUAAUGUAAUCAUUUGGGCUACUAGAUUAGGUCAGUCAUAAUGUAAUCAUUUGGGCUACUAGAUUAGGUCAGUCAUAAUGUAAUCAUUUGGGCUACUAGAUUAGGUCAGUCAUAAUGUAAUCAUUUGGGCUACUAGAUUAGGUCAGUCAUAAUGUAAUCAUUUGGGCUACUAGAUUAGGUCAGUCAUAAUGUAAUCAUUUGGGCUACUAGAUUAGGUCAGUCAUAAUGUAAUCAUUUGGGCUACUAGAUUAGGUCAGUCAUAAUGUAAUCAUUUGGGCUACUAGAUUAGGUCAGUCAUAAUGUAAUCAUUUGGGCUACUAGAUUAGGUCAGUCAUAAUGUAAUCAUUUGGGCUACUAGAUUAGGUCAGUCAUAAUGUAAUCAUUUGGGCUACUAGAUUAGGUCAGUCAUAAUGUAAUCAUUUGGGCUACUAGAUUAGGUCAGUCAUAAUGUAAUCAUUUGGGCUACUAGAUUAGGUCAGUCAUAAUGUAAUCAUUUGGGCUACUAGAUUAGGUCAGUCAUAAUGUAAUCAUUUGGGCUACUAGAUUAGGUCAGUCAUAAUGUAAUCAUUUGGGCUACUAGAUUAGGUCAGUCAUAAUGUAAUCAUUUGGGCUACUAGAUUAGGUCAGUCAUAAUGUAAUCAUUUGGGCUACUAGAUUAGGUCAGUCAUAAUGUAAUCAUUUGGGCUACUAGAUUAGGUCAGUCAUAAUGUAAUCAUUUGGGCUACUAGAUUAGGUCAGUCAUAAUGUAAUCAUUUGGGCUACUAGAUUAGGUCAGUCAUAAUGUAAUCAUUUGGGCUACUAGAUUAGGUCAGUCAUAAUGUAAUCAUUUGGGCUACUAGAUUAGGUCAGUCAUAAUGUAAUCAUUUGGGCUACUAGAUUAGGUCAGUCAUAAUGUAAUCAUUUGGGCUACUACAGUAUCAGAACAUGAGAUAUUAGAUCAGUAAUAAUGUAAUGGGCUACUACAGUAUCAGAAUACAUUCUUUCUUACCAAAACAAGUAAAACAUUGACUGAUAUUUCAUCCGGCCAAGAU